rnacentral:lncRNA from 1 species
UGCACAUGCACACCACUCCUGGAUUGCUUCUAGAAGCAGGGCUGUCACCUUGAGUCAACUGGGACAGAACUUUCUGGAAAGUCAUCAGCAUUUCCCUGCGCUACCGUUGAUGCCCUCCAGUUCUUUCUGGCUGACUCCAGCCACCCUAAAGCCCUCCAUUCCUUCCCUGGCCAUGACACAGCAAAUCCUAGGGAGAGACCAAGGCUCGUGAGUGUCUUCAUUCCAAAUGGCCCCAGCCUGUGGGGUUAAGUGGGAUCUUCCAAGAGCUCUGAUUGGGGAAAGUGAGCUUGCGGUAACCUCAGGCUGGGUGUUCCUCCUGCAUGGGCCUCCUCAUCCUCUGUGGUAAAAUAAGAGAUGAUCUAAAAUAAGAUUGUAAUCGCCCUCUGGUGUUGCUUUGACGGCUGAUAUGCUAUUUUUUGUCUUCUCUGUUAAUAGCAUCACCAUUGCCACAAUAGCUAGCACUGAUUGAACAGCUGGCAUAUGCCAGGAACUAAACGCAGUGAUGGAGAUAACAGCAACUAUCAGGUAUUGAAUGCUGACAUCCACCAGCUGUGGCCAGUCUACUGAUUAUCUCAUUUAAUCCCCACAGCAACCUGACCAUCCCUACCAAAAGGAUGAGCAAGUAGGUUCCAUGCAGUAAGAUGGCCUCAUUCACCUGGGAUCUGAAUCCAAGAGCCAGGCUCCUGAUCAGUCGGUCAUGUCCAAGUCCCUACAGACCUAAGAGGAUGUGUGAAGAUUCUCAAGAUUGCCUCAAGAUUCUGUUCACUCUCUUGAGGCAUUCGUGUACUCCACAAACACUGUUUGGGACCUGGAGGUGCAGGUGAGUGAGACAGUGACCCUCACUUCAAGGACCUAACCCCUGUCAAUGAAAAAGUUAAUAUUCAAUCUAAGAAAGGAACUGAAUAUUUUAUUGGAGCCAAUUAUAAUCUGGGAGAUAGUCUUUCAGAACGCUCUAAGGACUGCUCUGCCCAUUAGAGGUCAAAACACGGUAAUAUAAAUUUUGAGACAAAGGUUAUAUGUCAAUGACUCAUUACUGACGGUUUACAUAAUCCAAAUCUACGCAUACAAAGAGUAUUGCGUCAUGGAUCAUCUUGGUCCCAAGCUGAGCCUGAAAAGGACUGUUAUCUCCAAAGGACGUCUAGUUAACACAGCUGUACAAUACUUACUAACAGGGAGGGAAUGGGCCCAAACAGGCAAAGAAAAAUUUUAUGUUUACAUUUUUCUUACCUUGCCAUAAAAUAUGAAUUUUAUGUCAUCACCCUUAAGAAGAGGAAGGCAAAUAUAGUGGCAAUUAAAUAGGAGGGGAAAUGCUUUGAUAACAAUAAGUACAAGACAUUGAGGGCACACAGGAGAAACAGCUAGCUUAGCCUAUGGGCGACAGGAGAGGUGCCCAGGAGGGAUGACCCUGUACCAAGGUGCACAGGACAAGUUACAGUGAA